CUAAGUUGCUGCCUUGGGCUCCCAAGUCACUUCACUGGGAUCACAGGCCUGUGCCAAAGUAUGCUGCUCUUGAACUUCUUAACCGUGAACGAGAUUCUGUGUGCCACUUUGCACAUACCUCACUCCUCAAAACAACAUUUUGAGUUAUGCAAAGGCUUAUAGAGGUUCAGUAGCUUACCAAAGGCUGUAGUCAAUGGAAUUCCACUAGUGUGUCAAUGUCAUGACCAGCAUUUAAAAAAAAAAAAAAUGAAAUAGGCUGAGUCCAGUGGUACACACCUGUAAUCCCAGCAACUUGGGAGCUGAGACAGGAGAAUUGCAAGUUGGAGGCCAGCCUUAGCAAUUUAAAAAAACCCUGUCUCAAAAUAAAAUAGGGCCGAGGGUGUAGCUCAAUGAUAGAGUACUUGCCUAGCUUGUAGGAGACCCUCGGUUUGAUCCCCAGUGCUGCAAAAGAAAAACAAAAAACUACAAAAAAUCAGAGAAUAUUUUGGGGAAAUUUGUUUCAUGUAUGUAAGUGUGUUUUACUGAAAAAAAAAAAAACAAGCUUAUUUCUUACAGAAAAUAGGGGGUAAAAAACAAAACAAAAAACUUCUAUUUUGGACACCAUUAACGAUACAGCAUGAGUUUACUGGUUUGUACGGAGUUUGCUGUGGGAAUAUAAUCAGUCAGGUACCUGAUUGUGCAACUGCUUGCGAGCCUGAGACCCAGGACCUCCAGGGGUCAUGCUGGACAGAUGCCACCCACAAGGACCACUAGAUUAGUAGUUUUUAUUACUAUGACUUUUAUUAUUAAUAUUAAUAGAAAAUCAUGGACCUAGAAAACCUGAUUCCUCUGCUCCUUGGCUGUCGGGCCAGGCUCUGACCAACCAACCCCUUCUGCUGAUGGAAAAACAGUAAAGAAAUUGCUGGGAUGGUGGGCCUGGGAGCCAAAGGGCCUGGGCUCAAAGCCUGGCUCUGCUACUUAAUAGCUGGAUGACCUUGAAUAAGUCACAAAACUUCUGUUUCAAGGACCUCAUUUGUAACAUAGAGAAUCUAAGGCAACCUAUCUUGUAGGACUAAUGUGAGGAUCACAGGAGAGAAUGCAGUCAUCCCUAGAUAUCCUUGGGGGAAUGGCUCCAAAACCCCUUCAGAUAGGAAAGGCUUUGGGUGCUUAUGUCCCUUACAUGGCAUAGUAUUUGCAUACAACCUACACACAUCCUCCCAUAGAUUUUAAAUCACCUUUUAUAACACCAGAUGAUGUAAAUGCUGUGUAACAGUUGAUAUACUGUAUUGUUUAGGAAUAAUAAGAAAAAGUCUGAACCUGUUCAGAUCAGACACAAUAUUCUGCAGAUUUUCCUUUUUUUCUUUUUAGUAUUUGAGAUUGCAGAUAUUUUUCAUUCUCCGUUGGGUGUAGAACCAGAAGAAAUGGAGAGCCAGGUGUAUAAGGAAAUGUUCUCAGAAAAUGCCUGGCAUGUCCUUCCUCCUCUAUAAAUGUCAGCUAUUAUUGUCUUUCCAAAGCCAUGGGAAGCCACCAAUGGAAGGAUUGCUGGCAGAGGAGGAGCCCCCGUCCCUGGAGGCAGCUUCAACCCGGACAUUGGCAUUGACACAUUAUUGGCCACAUUAUUGUCUUCUGACAGGGAUAUACGCAGCUGUGCCCAAGCAGUGACCUAGAGAUGAAGAGAGGCAACACGAAAAUGGUAUGGCAAAAUCUAAAUGCUGCGCAUCGUCACCAAGGCUGGUGGUACCCGGAUCUGAGAGUGGAUGGAUAAGAUGUGGAGUAUCAUCCAGCAACAGCAGCAGAUGGCGUGUGGUUAGAUGCGACCACGGCGAUGAGCCGGGAACACAUCGUGCUGAGUGAAAAACCAGAUACAAAGGCCACAUGUUAUAGAAUUCCAUCUACACGGAACACCCAGAGGGGGGGACCAUGGAGAAGCUACUCAGGAGGCUGAGAUAGGAGGAUCAUAAGUUCAAGGCCAGCCUGGGCAACUUGAUGAGAUGCCUACUCAAGAUAAGAAGGACUGGGGAUGAGGCUCAUGGUAAGGCACCACUGGGUUCAAUCCCCAGAAUACACACCUCCUCUCUCUCUCUCCCCCUCUUUUCUCUCUCUCUCUCUCUCUCUCUCUCACACACACACCGAUGAUAAAAAGAGAAGACAGGGGCUGGGGAUGUGGCUCAAGCGGUAGCGCGCUCACCUGGCACGCAUGCGGCCCGG